GUAGGUGGCAAGCGUUGUCCGGAUUUAUUGGGCGUAAAGCGAGCGCAGGCGGUUUCUUAAGUCUGAUGUGAAAGCCCCCGGCUCAACCGGGGAGGGUCAUUGGAAACUGGGAGACUUGAGUGCAGAAGAGGAGAGUGGAAUUCCAUGUGUAGCGGUGAAAUGCGUAGAUAUAUGGAGGAACACCAGUGGCGAAGGCGGCUCUCUGGUCUGUAACUGACGCUGAGGCUCGAAAGCGUGGGGAGCAAACAGGAUUAGAUACCCUGGUAGUCCACGCCGUAAACGAUGAGUGCUAAGUGUUGGAGGGUUUCCGCCCUUCAGUGCUGCAGCAAACGCAUUAAGCACUCCGCCUGGGGAGUACGACCGCAAGGUUG
rnacentral:rRNA from 1 species